UCCAGCUUAAUUCUCUUUCUCUGUAUUUCCCAUUCUCCGGGGCAAUUCCAUUUCUCUGGUAAUAAUUCUGCUCCAUCUUUAUCCACCGGAAUACAAUACAGACUAUGCCUCCUAAUUUGGUGAAUGGAUGGUGGUCAGAUUCUUCCCAUAAUCAACUAGCCCUAAGAGAAUUAUUGAGGGCUACAAUGAGAUAAUGAGAUGACAGUCGGAGGCUUCUUCUUUGAGUCAAGGACCAUCUUCGGUCACAUACAUUUUCUGGAACCAUCCCGGUUUCUACAGGGCUGCACCUCCGAUUGAAAGUCGGCCAUGGGGACAAGUAAAACGAGCGGCUGCUUCUUCUCCAGGUGUUUACUUUUUUUAUUUUUGUUGAUUUAGGGUUUUGUCGCUGUUUUUUUUUCUUUGGUCUGUUGUGUCAAUCGCAGACAUGAACUCCACACUCAACAAGUCUCGAUUACAGGCGCUUUCUCUCUGCAAUCGAUUUGUUUUUUCUUCUCUUCCAUUACGGCUUGUUCUUCGGCUGGAGAAGGCUUAUGCUUCCGAUUAUUGCAAAAAGAUUUCAGGUGUAUCAAUGCAAUCACAGUGUGAUAGAGAGAUUAGAGACUUUAUCAAGGGCAAUUAUAUGAAAGUUAUAAAUAUCACCCAUUAAUGAAGCUAUACCCAAGUCGACUGCUGAUUAGUUUGUGGGAAAUGACAAAACUGCCCCUAUCCUUUCAGCACUACAGGAAAUAAUGACUUUGCUGUUGCAAUUGUUCCAACUGCUGGAAGACGAAUGGAUUCGGUUCUAAUGUGGAUGUUGUGUGCGGGAACUUGAACUUGAAGAAGCAAAUAAAGCAUCCUCCUUUUUAUCAAACUGUUCAGUGACUAACAAUCUUAAUCAACAUCAUGUUUUAGAAUGGAAUACCCUGCAAUCCCGCAACGCUGGAUUCUUCCCUAGUUUCAUUUAACAACGAAAAAAAAAUAUGUGUUUUCAUGUUUAUUGGCAAAAAGCAAAUUACAAGAAUGGCCCUUGUAGUUUGAAGUAAUUUGCGUUUAAUCUUUAACGUGUUUUUUUCAACUUAUAAACUUUUUUUUGAUGUGGUAAUGAUCAUGCUAAUCCAAUGC